CCGGCGGGCAGCGGCUGGGCCGCCCCGUGUCGAGCCGCGGUUGGACGCGGUGUUUGUGGGCGCGGAUCGCUCCUCCGUUCGCUCCCCCCCCACUGCUCCCCCCCGGCCGUUCUCCUCUUGAUUCCAGAAGAAAUGACAAUUUAUUAUUGUUUUGUUUUGCUUCGUUUUUUAAUCACUUACCAUUCUGCCCUCCCUGUUACGGGCUUAGGGGAAAACAGGCACACACGCACGUGUCUACGCGUUUUCAGAACCGCUGUGCUGGGUGCGUGGAGGGACCGCGGUGAGGAGGCACUGCCGGCGCUGCGCAUCGCGAAAUCACCGCACCGCACCGCACAGCGUCCCGCACCGACAGGGCGGCACCCCGCCCGCCUCCGGAGCCGGCAGGAAAGCGUGGGGGGGGGGAGUAGGGGGAGAGGGGAGGACCGGGGCUCCAUCCGGGCUCCACCUUAGGAAAUGCCUGCCUAAAAAGUAAUAAUAAAAAUAGAGAGAAUGAGGAAGGGAAAACGGCGCCGGGAGACGGAUCUUCUGCUUCAGCCCUUGCUGUUAGAGCAACAUCUCAAUUUCUUCAGAGCCCGUGAGACUGACCUUGUCUCAUAACAGCCAGCACAAUGUUCUUCCCACCUGACUGCACAACCUCAGGAAGGGCCUUGUUGGUGGGUCAUCAAUUAGAUCAUCUGUUUCAAUGACUCAAUCAGUGCAGCUUUUCUCCAGGAAUUCACUGUGAGCCACGUAGGAUGAGUCAAAUGGAAAGGAGCUGGGCAUGCCAGAGACAGUGCUUGCAAAUUUCUAAACUGUGGACAUCUAAAACCUGCUUUACCCCGAGGUGGCCUGGGGGAGCUUAGCUUUGCUUUGUUGUCUGAAAUGAACAACCCCUAAGUGAUAGAUUGAUUUUUCCAGGUACCUAAAUACUGCCAAAACCUUCAGGCUAAUGCUGCUCAGCUGAGAGGUGCCUUGGGCACUCUGGAGGCUCAUUGUGAUCAGCCCUCUGCAGAGGACAGACAGCUCUGUAUCCAUGCUCAUUACUUAUCCAGCCUCUCCUUGACCCAGUCUUUCACAACAGGCAGCUGCGGGGCUGGCAUUGGUGCUGCUGACACUGCCCACCUCAUACACGAUGCUUUACCAGUUGGAGAGAUUGAGUAUGAAAUGGAAAGACUUUGGGAAUUGAUUUUUUGACCCGGGAUGCUCAAGGGCAGGCCUGCCAAUUCCCAUGGGGGCUAGAAAUUUCUCUGAGUGUAGGAACUACCUGUCUCUUUGUGACAGGCUGUUGUAAGAACUUAAAGAUUGCGGAGAUAAGAGGAAGAGAAAGAAGGGAAAGCGUAACUGUACCCUUGUUAGUACACGUAAGACAAAAGUUACCUCUGGUCUGUAGGUUCAGGAUUAUUCUGGGAAUAUAUUUAAAUCACUUUCCUGAAUCUUUUUGUGUGAUGUGUGUGUUUAGGGGCCUUACGUAGGGUAUUACGUGGAGUUUAUGUUCUGAAGGCGUAUGGCUGCAUUGCUGAAAUGGCAUAUGCUGUUGUAUACAGUUCUUUACAUUUUAAAAUUCUCAGGAGUGCUUUAUUCACCUUAGUUCAUCUUUUCUCUAUCAUUUCCUCAUCUAUAGUGAGUGCCACUAAUAUUCCACUAUUAACAUUGCUGAGAUGCGUUACCUACUGAUGAGUAUUGAAGGACAGGCUGCACAUCAACUGCAUUCCUCUGUGCCUCAGAGGAAGAGCAGAACACACAAAAAUUUCUGAGAUGUUUUCUUUCCUGAAAUUAUGUGAACAAAAUAUAUGCUUAAAAAAUAGCAGAUACAUGAGAAUAUAUAUGACUGGCUGACUGUGGCAGUCGUAUCUGAGGACCUGAGUUUGGGACCCUCGUUGUGCCAGGGUUUAAGGUUCUGCCCAUAAAUCAGUAUGCUGGCUUCUACAGAAAAAGAAGUAUCAGAGAAAAGAGAUUUGUGUUGAGUUGGGCUUUUUCCAUGCCUAACCGAUAUGGAAAUGUUGCUCUGCUCCUCCAUCAAGGCUUCUUUGGAGGCCCACUGCACAAUGACUAGAGAUGAUAGUGUGUUAUGAAAUGUUAGACAGGACAAAUCCUUUAGUAAAGUCCUUAGGCAUUAUGUGGCAGUUAUAAAGUCCUUGGCGUUCAGUGUUGGUGCAUGUAGGAUAGAUGAAGGAAGAGACAAUGACUUGUGAUGGAAGCUGGGUCUAACUCAGAAAGUAUAUUCUGCUUAUGUUUGUUCCAAAAUGCUGCCUAAAAAGAGUCUCUUAAUACGUGCAAAGACAGAUGAUUCUUGGAAGCCACACCAUUUUCUGCUUAUUUCAUAAUGUCUCUAAUUUCUCCCCGUCUUUUACAAGCGCUUUAUUUCUUUGACGGUAUGUCUUGCUAAAAGUCAAAGGAAUCAUGUCUAUAUUAUACAGUGGGCACUGGACUGCAUAUAACUUUUUAUCUUUAGCUUGCUUUUGGAUUCUUCAAUGUAUUUUUGUCCUACUUGCUAUGUUAAUUCACUUUUAAGUUACUGGAAGUACUUGGAAAGUAAGUGAAGUUACUCAAGAUUACCUGGAAUUCAUGGUGAUUUAGAUGAUCACAUCUUUGGAAAAAGAGUCCAUUACACUGAGAUUUGUGUCUCUCUGACAUGAGGAAAAAAGAAUGCAAUGAACAAAAAAAGACCGACUGUAUAAUAAAGAUUUCUCUUUGCUUGGCCAACAGAUGUAUUGUAAAUGUAACAGAUAUGUGCUUAAGAAAACAGUUGAUUAGAAAAUAUGCCACUGUAGCCACCAUAGACCUUAUCAUGGAUGACUAAACUUUAUGACUGAGGGUUUUUUUUUAUUCUUCUUACUGGAAGCUGUUCUUUCUUCACUGCUGUUCUGGGAGAUUUUAUACCAGACUGUGGCUAUAUGAGCUCAAGUGAGAUACAGAUGCAAGGUUUCAGCUCUUGGGACAUCACAGUGCCUGAUCAUGAGAUAUUUUGAAGUCAAAAUUCUGUUAAUAAAUCUGCAUUUUUCUUAAUAUAAUUACAUCUCUUAUAGGGAUAUCUGUCUUCACCACUUCAGAGUAUUUUAUGCUCUUACAAUCUGUGUUUUUAGGCUGAUGUUAUUUAUGUAACAUGACAAACACAGAACAAUUAGUUUCUCAUUAGCUGCUAGGCAAAUGUCAUGCCCUCAAAUUUUAAUCAGCCAACACAGAUAUCAUCAGAAUGUGAUAUGUUUGCUAUGUUUUUCUCAUUAUGUCUUCCAGGAUGAUGGCUAGUAUUUUUCUUUUUAAUUCAUAUGUGUAUGCUUAUUUAUAGACCUAACUUUCUGAGUGUCUAUUGGUUCUGCAAAUAAAUACUCCAGAAUUUAAUUCCAUUCAUAGCGUUAUCAAAAUGAAAUGAAAUACGGGCUUCACUAUCUAGUCUGGAUUUGGAUCAAAACAUUUUGUUUUCAUUUUGAAUUCAGGAAAGUGAAUGGUAAUAAAAGAAAAAUGUUUGGGCUUGGCUUUCUGUCAGGUUGAGAUUGCCUAGGAUUUUGACUCCAUGCUUCUCCUGGUACCUAAGGUGACUGGUCUGUUAUCCCCAGUGUAGCUGCACUGCGCCCUGAAGUGCUAGCCACAUCUGCUGCUAAAAAAAUGAUGGGAAUAUCCUAACUGAAGAAAACGGGAACUGGUCUGUUUCUUUCUGCUUUUCAUUUUGAGAUUCUGCAUAAGCAGUUUCCAAUUUUCUCUUCUGCCCUGGGGCCUGGAGAUAUUUAGGUACCAUCUGGAAAGUAGAUUCAGAAUAAAGUAUGAAAAAUGUUGUCUA
ensembl:lncRNA